rnacentral:rRNA from 1 species
AACGCGAAGAACCUUACCAGCUUUUGACAUGCCCUGGACGGAUACCAGAGAUGGUUUCCUCUCUUCGGAGCCGGGGACACAGGUGCUGCAUGGCUGUCGUCAGCUCGUGUCGUGAGAUGUUGGGUUAAGUCCCGCAACGAGCGCAACCCUUAUCUCCAGUUGCUACCAUUUAGUUGAGCACUCUGGCGAAACCGCCUCGGAUAACGGGGAGGAAGGUGGGGAUGACGUCAAGUCCUCAUGGCCUUUAUGUCCAGGGCUACACACGUGCUACAAUGGCCGGUACAAACCGCUGCAACCCCGCGAGGGUGAGCUAAUCGGAAAAAGCCGGCCUCAGUUCGGAUUGGAGUCUGCAACUCGACUCCAUGAAGCUGGAAUCGCUAGUAAUCGUGGAUCAGCAUGCCACGGUGAAUACGUUCCCGGGCCUUGUACACACCGCGCAUA